rnacentral:rRNA from 1 species
GGACUACCAGGGUUUCUAAUCCUGUUUGAUCCCCACGCUUUCGUGCCUCAGCGUCAAUAAUUGUGUAGCCAGCUGCCUUCGCAAUCGGUGUUCUAUGUCAUAUCUAAGCAUUUCACCGCUACAUGACAUAUUCCGCUAACCUCCACAACAUUCAAGACUUAUAGUAUCCAUGGCAGUUUCCGAGUUAAGCUCAGAGAUUUCACCACGGACUUACAAGUCCGCCUACGCACCCUUUAAACCCAGUGAAUCCGGAUAACGCUUGCACCCUCCGUAUUACCGCGGCUGCUGGCAC